GCAAGUCGAACGGCAGCAUGUCUUAUCUUCGGAUUUGAUGAUGGCGAGUGGCGGACGGGUGAGUAACACGUAGGUAUCUACCUGAAAGUGGGGGACAACCCGGGGAAACUCGGGCUAAUACCGCAUAUUCUCUACGGAGGAAAGCUGGGGACCGUAAGGCCUGGCGCUUUCAGAUGAGCCUGCGGCAGAUUAGCUAGUUGGUGGGGUAAAGACCUACCAAGGCGACGAUCUGUAGCUGGUCUGAGAGGAUGAUCAGCCACACUGGGACUGAGACACGGCCCAGACUCCUACGGGAGGCAGCAGUGGGGAAUUUUGGACAAUGGGCGAAAGCCUGAUCCAGCAAUACCGCGUGUGUGAUGAAGGCCUUCGGGUCGUAAAGCACUUUCAGUUGUGAAGAAAUGCACAUGGUUAAUAGCCAUGUGAGCUGACGUUAACAACAAAAGAAGCACCGGCUAACUCUGUGCCAGCAGCCGCGGUAAUACAGAGGGUGCAAGCGUUAAUCGGAAUUACUGGGCGUAAAGCACGCGUAGGUGGGUAGUUAAGUUAUGUGUGAAAGCCCCGGGCUCAACCUGGGAAUUGCACGUAAGACUGGCUAUCUAGAGUAUAGUAGAGGGAAGUAGAAUUUCCGGUGUAGCGGUGAAAUGCAUAGAUAUCGGAAGGAAUACCAGUGGCGAAGGCGACUUCCUGGGCUAUUACUGACACUGAGGCGCGAAAGCGUGGGGAGCAAACAGGAUUAGAU
rnacentral:rRNA from 1 species